AUUAGAACGUUUCUAUGAUUUUUAAAAUGUGAUAAUAAUGUAUGUAGUGCGUGAUUUUAUUAUUUAAAUUGAUAGUAAUUUUAGGUUUUUAAAAGAUAGCAAUUAUUAUUAGUAUUUAUAUUAAUAAUAUUAUUAUUAGUAUUUUUAAAGAUUUUUGUCAUUUUGGUUAUAAUGAGGUUAUAAUAUAAUCGUCCAUCUUGUUAAUCCAACCAAUGAUCUGUGAUCGUUCGAAUUCAUUUGACGUUUAAAAUAAAUGUCAAAUUUUUAAUGAAUUUUGACAAGAUAACCUUAAGAAUUGAAAUAUGUUCAUUUCUGCACUAUAAAUACUCUGUGGUUAGUUUUUAUCGUAAUUUUUCCUGUUUUGAGGUUACGAAAUAACAAAUUUAUUUAAGAAAUCAAUCGGAAGUAUACAUAUGUUGCUAUCUUAUUGAACUUGAGGCUUAAACAAGAACUGAAAUAACAAAAAAAAGAAAGGUGAUCGAAACCAGGAUGUGGGAUGUGAAUGUCCCCAAAAAUUUCAUUCAACAAAAAAGGUUCCAAGAAUUAUUUUAUUAUUCAUUUAAAAGGAAUUAAAGAAGAGGGGGUAUAAUACAAAAGGUGCUAUACAGGAUGUUUUAAAAGAGUGAUUAUUAAUAACAACAAUCAUAGUACCUCAAAAAAAGAUAGGAUUUGUAUACAAAAUGAAAUUAAAAAAGAAUCACUCCAAUUAUUGAUCCACAGACAAAAAGAGCACCUGUUGCUGGGACAUUCAACAAAUAGCACAAGGUCUAACAAGGAGAAACUACAUUUUAUCAUUACUAUUAUUGUCGUUUUGAAACAUUAAAGGAGAAAUGCAAAUGCGAAAUGUAGUGCUUUUUUUUUAUUUUUAUAGUUAAUAAUAUUUUGUUUUUGGCAAAAAAAAGAAAACAAUAAAAUGUGAUCAAAUUUA